GAGAGGAACAUUUUGGUGUUGCCAAGGCCUACCUCCUUAAACUGUCUUUGAUUUUAAGUCGGAAUGUUGUCUGACAUCUCCUUUUAUUUAUUCGGAACUGUCAUAAUAUACUUUUUUUCGAUGAGUUGCUGUCUCGAAAACGUAUGACAGACAAUUUAUAUUACUCAUAUGGAACUAUCCUUAGAUCAACUUUGUAUAUGAAUUGCUGUCUCAUAACUGUUAUUUGUGUUAUAUCUAUACCAACAAAAUCCACGAAUAAUAAUGCAUCCUUAGAAGUUUUUCUGUAGAAUCUCGAUAAGAUGUCGUCAAGUUUCGGGUCCAAUACAGCUAAUUUCAAAUCUAUAACAGGGCCAAUACAGAAAUUGUCAGUUAAUAACACUAUAAAAUAAUUUUAAACAGAUCUUAAUUAGAUCACUAAAAAUU
rnacentral:lncRNA from 1 species